AAGUACAUAAUUAUUAUUUUACUCUUUUUCUGAUUUUUACUUUUAGCCUGACGAACUCUUGCCCUCAAUUCUUCGUACUCAAUUUAAGGUUGUUUUAUGCGAGUUUAAUUACUUACACGUUGUUCCAAUAAACAUAUUUUCCAAAACAAUAAAAGUUAAAUACAAAAAAAGAAGUGCACGAAUAACCACUGAUGCCCCUCUGGUAGAGUGUUAUUACCACCCCGCUAGCGUGGGUGUUUAAGCAAUCGAGCUAACCAGCGUAACAUGACCGAGCGAUGUACUACCCGAGCGUAAUUGGAAUGCGAGCCUACGCUGGUUAGUCCGAGCAGUCAGCCCAUCCGAAGCGCGUCCUAAGCGGUUUUAAUAACAACCAUGGCCUUUACUUAUUUAGCCUGAC